GCAAGGCAGCAGCAGCGACGCUGGAGUCUGGUCCAGGUGCUGGACCAGAAUCAGGAGAGGAGAUAUGCUCGGCACCACCGGCGGAAGGUGAAGUAGCUGGUGCACUGGCGGCCAUGACGGCGCUCAUUGAGGCAGCGGCAACAAUGAUGGCGGUGGAGAUCUUCUUCAUGUCCAUGGUGUUAUGAAGGGAUUAUUAAACGUAAAGGGAAUGAAAGAGACCUGCGUUUAAUUACAGGUGAAUGGGGUUUCCCCGGUGAUUGUUGUUAUUUGCUUUGUUAUUGCAGGUCUGAAGAAAAAGGAUGGUGGGGAAGGUGAUUUUAUAGGUGGAAUUUCAUGGCUAUUUUUAGCGACGGCUCCGUUUUCGUCGGCGAAAAUAGUUGCAAAAUUUUGAAUUUGUUUUUUUAAAUGAUUUGACCGGGUUUUUAGAUGAUAGGUUUUAAAUAGAAAGGAUAUUUUUUUAUUUUUUUUAAUUUUAAUUAUUAAACUAUAAAAAUAUUAAAAUGUUUUUUAUUCGAAUUUUAAUUUCCCUUUAAUUAUUAAAUCAUGUGUCUCAUAUAUUUGAUUUAUUGAUUUUUUAAUAAUAUCAUUUGAGAGCAUAGUUUCUUAAUCUCAUUGAAAUUUUUUUAAUAUUUAAAAUUAUUUUUUUAUUUACUCUUAAAAUUAUAUCUCUUUCCGAAAUAAUAUUUUUGGUUCGUUUUAUAUUUUUCUUUUCAUCUAUUUAAUUUGUCGCAUUUAGAACCAAAUUUUAGCAUUAAAAAAAUUAUAAUUUAACAGUUACAAUUUUUUUCCUUUACAAAAUCUCAUUGAAUUUUUUAAUAUUUUUAUUUACUCAGAAAUUAUAUCUCGUACAAAAUCCUCUUUUUGAAAUAUGAGAAAAUACCUUAAAAUAUGAGACAAUACAAAAAAUUAUGAGGCAAUACUAAAAAAAUGAAGAAAUGCAAAAAAAAUUAUAAGAAAAUACGAAAAAAAAUAUGAGAUAGUACCAAAAAAAUAUGAUGGGAUACCAAUUGUGGUUCGUCUUAGUAAAUUUGUUUUAUUUAUUAAAUUAUUCAUAUUUUUUUCUUGCCAAAAUUUUUCUGAAAAUAUGAUAAUUUAAAAGUUAUCACUUCUUCGUUACAAAAUCUCAUUGAAUUUUCUUAAUAUUUAAAAAUAAUAUUCUUUUUACUCCAAAUGUUUAUCUCUUAUCAAAUCUUUAUUUUGAAACUAUACUACAAAUUACGAGGGAAUACCCAAAAUUAUGAGAAUAUACCAAGAGGAAAUACAAAAAAGUUUAAGUUUUAUCAAACACAUUAAUGUUUAAAUUGUAGUUUGAAUCGUUUGAGAUGAUAAUUUUUUUGUAGUCCCUUAAAAUUUUAUAAACUGAUAAAAUUAUACUUUAAUCCCUCAUAAAAAAUAAUUUAAUUUUGAUUCUCUAAAUAAAUAUUUGGCAUUAAACAAAAACAAAAUGAAAUUUUUAUAAUAUAGGGAUGAUAGGAUUUCAACCCAUAUCAUUUGGGUGUUAAAUGAAAGCUUUAAUAAUUUAUUAUUUGAUUAAUUUCAACAUUAAUUAACAAAUAGACCAACAACAUCUCGAACCAAACCCUAAUACAAUGUUAUUCAUCACGAGAGAUUAGAGAGUCACACAUAUUCAAUCACCAACUUAAGUGAUUGUCUCCAUUUAGAAGCAAAGAAAAUAAUAAGAUGAUGAUUAGAUUGUGGUCGCAGAUACAAUUGAGACCGUCAUUGAUAUAAUACAUUUAAUAUAUUAAUUAUAUUUUCUUUUGUAGUUAUUCGAAUCUAUUAAUUAUAAUACAUUUAUUUAUUUGUGAAUAUUUUGCUCUCAUAAUUGUGAACACAUAAACAUGAAAUAUUCAUCAAAGCUCCAUUUUAUUCAUUUCCAAUAUUUUCAAUAUUCAUCGCAUGGUUUUCAUACAUUUAGAUGAUUACAGAAAGUAAGAAACGAAAGAAACAAGGGAAGCCCCAACCAAGGAUCCAAGAACAGGCAAGGUGGCGGCAGCGACGCUGGAAUCCGCUCCCGGUGCUGCAGCAGAAGCAGGAGAGGAGCUAGGGCCAGAACCACCUUCGGAAGGGGCAGGAGCUGGGACACCGGCGGCCAUGACGGCGCUCAUUGAGGCGGCAGCAACAAUGAUGGCGGUGGAGACCUUCUUCAUGUCCAUGGCGUAGAAAGGGAUUAUUAAACGCACCGGAAAUGAAUGAGACCUACUGGUGAAUGGGGAUCCGCCGGUGAUUGUUAUUAUUUGCUUUGUUAUUGUAGGCCUGAAGAAAAAGGGUGGUGGGGAAGGUGAUUUUAUAGGUGCAAAUUCAUGGCUAUUUUUAGUAACGGUUUUAGUAUUCGUUGGCAAAAAUAAAGCUAUUUUACGUGUUUGGUUUUGCAUGGUUUGUGCAAAAUUUUGAAUACCAUUUUAACGAUUUAAUAGGGUACUCUCUCUGAUAAGAGAUUUUAAAUUUUAAAAUUAAAAGAUAAAGCUUAUUUUAUUUUAAAAUUAAUUAUUAAAUUAUACCAAUUAAUUGUUUAAACUCAAUAUUAAUUCAAUUAUAAAUUUUUUUAUAUAAUUAUAAAAAAAAUGAUAAAGAUUUAUGAUUUGGGUGUAAAUUUUAUGUAAAUAAUAUUUAUUAAAAUUUAUAUAACUAUAAAAAAAUAUUAUAUAAGAACUUUUUGGUUAAAAUGGUAGAGCAUGGGCAUAGUCAGAGAGGGUUGGUCCCCUCACAAUGGAAAAUUUUCAUCUAAAUUUUUUAAAUUUUUAAAAAAUUUAAAUUAUUAAAGAUAAAAUUAUACUUUGACCCCCUUAAAAAUGAUAAAAAUUUGAUUAAUCCUUUCAAAACUAUAAAGAUAUAGGCUAUUCAAAUAUUAAAAUUGUAUUUUUAUUAUAAUAAAAAUUAAAAUUUAAUUUCAAACCCCUUAAAAAUGUUUACUGUGUUCGCCCCUGUGGUAAAAUUAAAAAUUUUAAAAUAAUAAAUUUUUAGUCAUUUAUCAACAGAAUUGAUGUCGAAUUAUUUCAUGACAUUAUAAUUCAACUAAAGAUUUUAAGUGUAGAUUUGAAUUAAAAGAAAGGGUAAUUGAAUAUUCUUACUUCAAUUUUUUUACCUUAAUUUUUAACUUUUUAAUAUAAUAUCUAAUUUUAAUUAUGAUUCUCUAAACUCUUAAAUUAGUUGAAAAUGCAUGCUUAAACACCUUCAAAUCUACGUCUUUUUAAUUUUUACAAUGACAAUAAUGUCAACUGAACUAAAACUUAAUCAAAUUUUUUUAAAGGAAUAACAACAUAUUAUUUAUUCCCUUUAGAUUUUAACAUAAAAUACUUAAAGGGAGGGUUAUAAUAGAAAACUCAUGACAAUAAUCAUCUUUCCUUUUUGUUCUUAUUAUCGUUUAUUUAAAAAUGUGUUAAUAUUAUACUUAAGUCGGUAAAUUCUAGUUAUAUAUAUAAAAAAAAAGAACUAGUUUUCUUAUUUGGUGAUACACAAUUUUGAUUGUAUGUGUCAAUUAAAAAAUAUUAAAAUUAAUAAUUUUAUACGAAUGUAAUUUAAUUAUCGAUAUUAUAAAUAAAUUUAAUUUUAUUGCAGGUAAAACUAUAUUUUAGAGUUACUUUUUUAAUGUUUUUAUAGAGUUUUUUAAUUCUUAAAUAGGGGGACUAUUAUAAAUAUUUUUAUUCUUAAAAUGCAUUUUAUUUAUUAAUAUUUUUAUAUUUUACAUAUUAUCUUUCAAAAUAGUAUAUUUUUAUUUGGUGUCUCAAAAUUUUAAAAUUUCUUAAUUACUUUAUAUAAUUUAGAGUCUAUUAACAUUUGAUCCCUUUUAAUCUAUUUUUGUAAAAAUUAUAAAAAUAUAAUUAAAUACAUAUUUUAAUUCUCAUAAAAAUGUAUAUUUUAAUUUCAAUUUUUUUAAAAAAUUCGAGUUAAAUAAUUCAUUGUUAUUUUCAUGUUAUUCAUUGUUAUCAGUUCAAUAAAUCGAAAAGUAAAACAUUAACACAAAAUAUUCAAAGCUCUAUUUUAUUCAAUAUUUUCAAUAUUCAUCACAUGUUUCUUUCAAAAAAAAAAAAAUCGUUCACAUGUUGAUUUUUCGUACAUGUAGCUUACUGCAGCAUGUAAGAAAACAAAGAAACAAUGGAAGCCCCAACCAAUGAUCCAAGAACAGGCAAGGUAGCGGCAGCCAUGCUGGAAUCCGGUCCUGAUGCUGGAGCGGAACCAGGAGAGGAGCUAGGACUAGAACCACCGGCUGAAGGGGCAGGAGAUGGUGCACCGGCAGCCAUGACGGCGCUCAUUGAGGCGGCAGCAACAAUGAUGGCGGUGGAGACCUUCUUCAUGUCCAUGGCGUAUAAAGUGAUUAUUAAACGCACAGGAAAUGAGAGGGACCUGCGUUUAAUUACCGGUGAAUGGGGAUCCGCCGAUGAUUGUUAUUAUUUGCUUUGUUAUUGCAGGUCUGAAGAACAAUGAUGGUGGGGAGGAUCAUUUAUAGGUGAAAAUUCAUGGCUAUUUUUAGUGACGAAAUUUUUUUAAAAAAAUUACGUGUUCGGUUUUCGCAUGGUUUGCGGGAUAGACAUGCAAUUUUUUUAAAUAUUUUUUUAACGAUUUUGACUGGUUUUUAGAUAAGGAGAUUUUUGAUAAAUUAUAAUAAGAAGGGAAUUUUUUUUUUGGUAACAAGAAAAGGAUUAAAAAAUUAACAAGAAAUAUAUAACGGGAUUCGAACACACAAACAUGCUAUCCAUCCUUACAAGAUGACUGACUAAAGAAGGGGCACUAUGAAAUAUCUGUGUGCCAACCGGUGCUUCCUUCAUCAUAUCAGCCAACGAGUGUGCUAUAGAGUUAACUUCUCUUGGAAUCUAUUUGAAGACAACAUUUAAAUCACAACUUAUUAACUCUCGAAUUAUAAGAACCAAAUCUCUCUGAACACACCCUCUCAAUUCGCCAAUAAUUCCUUUAAAGGCAAGUACACAAUCUAUUUCCACUAAGAUAUCUCGUCAUUGGGCAUCCCAUGCCAUAAUAAGCCCAUUAUAGAUCGCCUAAAGCUCCGCUUGCUCCACACCACACCUACCAAUAUUUCUACUUACUCCAUGAGUCCAAUUGCCAAAUUCAUCUCUCACCACUGCUGCCGAAGCUGCCAAACUCAAUACUGGAUCAUGGGCCCUAUCAGUAUUCAAUUUAAUGGUACCCGUCGGAAGAGGGAUCCAUCGGGUACACCUAGUUUGUCUUCUGGAACAAUCAUCCGGUCUUCCAGCUGUGCACUUAGAGCAUUAACCUAAUUCCAUGAAGAGUGAAAGAUAAAAUCUUUACUGAACGGAACAUCCUGGAACACAUACAAACAUCUAUGUUUCCAAAUCUUCCAACAGAGCAUACCAAACAGAGACCUUCAAUCAAGUUCAUGAAAAACUAAGCCAAAUACAUUCCUCAACUUAACCCUUAGCCAGUCUUUCGCGAGUAAGAGAAGAAACGAUGCAAUAAUCUCGGAGGAAUAACCUGCUCCCAAAUAUCUCUUACCUUACAACAAUCCUUUAAGGAAUGAAUAAUAGAUUCAUUUUUACAUCUGCAAAACUUACAAGAAGAAGAAUCUGACAUACCUCUUCUACAAUGUUCCACAUUAGUUAAUAAGCGUUCCUUGAAAACCAUCCAAAGAAAUUGUCUUACACGUUGUGGCCUUGCAAAAGACCAGACGAUUUUCCAACUAUCUUACGAAGGAUUCAAGGCAUCUUUAUUGAGAAAAUUAUAGGUAGACUUAACUGAUAAACUCCCAUUAAAAUAUCAUUGUGAUAUCAUUGAAUCGGGACCAACUAGGCAAUUAGGAACUGGAAUACCUGCAAUGUAAGAUAAAAUAAUAUCAUCUAAGAAACAUCUUAGGUACUACCGGUUCCAAUCCUCGUCCAUCGACACCAUUCCCCUAAGAGAAAUGGAUUCAUUAAUAAGCGAGAUGUUAUGGCAAAAAUUAAUCAAAGGUCCAACCUUAAUGACCCAAUUAUCGGUCCAAAAUUUGAUACGAUUACAAUCACCCGCAAACCAUGCAACACAUUUGCGCAAAAGUGGCCAAAUCUUUGCAAGUGAUCUCCAAAGAAAGGAACAACAAUUCUUUGUAAUGUCAACCAGGAAAUCAUCAACUAUUUUGUAUUUAGCUCUCAGGAAAAUAACCCAUAAAGCUUUUUUAUUUGUGAGGAAAUUAAACCCCAACUUGAGUAGAAAAGAGUCGUUCUGGACUGUAAACCUCCUGAUACCUAAACCUCCAUUAGAAAGUGGUUGGCAACAAUCAUUCCACCUAACUAAAGAAGGCUGCUGAUUUGUAUUGGAACUCCCCCAAAUAAAACCUUGAGCUAUAUUUUCAAUCUCAUUACAGACAGAAAUAGGAAUCUUAACAGAUUGCAUGAAGUAGUUAGGGAUUGAUAGCAAGACUGAUCGUGCCAAAAUGACUCGACCAACCAUUGAAAGUGGCUUAGCAUCCCAACUAUCCAACUUCCUCCAGAUCUUGUCAAUAACAAAAUGGAAAGUGCUCAUUGUAACUCGUCGAUGAAAUAACGGUACACCCAAAUAAAAAUCCAAAUCAUCAGUCAUGCUAAAUCCCAAUGUACUACAAAUUUAGCAGAAACAUUAACCUCAAUAAUCUUUGAAAAGAAAAUGUUAGUUUUUGGCCCAUUGACUUUAUGCCCCGACGCUGCUCCAAAAAUCCUUAGAACGUUCCGAAUUCUUAUAGCUUGAUUCAUAUAUGUGACACUGGCGGCCCAUUUUUACCAACUGAAAAAGUUUCCACGUCUUAUCCUCAACCUCUUUAUGAGUAAGCUGUCCCAGUCUCUCCAUACAUAGAAUGAAAAUAUAAGGAGAUAAUGGGCAUCCCUGCCGGAUACUUCUCGUUGGUUGGAAUCAGGGAUUCAAAUAACGGAACGUUUUUAGAAUAACGGCGUUAUAUAGCGGUAGCGCCGCCGACCGAAACCGCUAUUGCUGAAAAUAACGGAGGGAAGCGGAUUCACACCGAUAACGGUGGAUAGCGGCCGCAAUUUAACGGAUAACGGACAAUUGCGGCAAUAACGGGCCUCUAUUCCCGUUAUUUUCCGUUUCCGUAAAUUAAAAAAAAAUCAAGUGCUGUAGAUGGACAUGGAUGGUGAUUCUGGUGAAUGAAAUAUUGAAGUGAAUAGUGAAAAGUGAAAAGUGAGAAGAAAGACUGAAUAAUUGUACUUCAUAAUAAAACAAAAGACAAGGGAAUAUAUUCCCUCCCAACCUGCAAUCAAAACAAAGUAAAGUAAAAGACUGAAUCUGAAAGUCGAUUAAAAAAAUCAAAACUCACUCACACAACACAAUACAAGGCAGUACUCAGUAAGUCAGACUCACAAACUCACAUUUCACAGAAUCACAAGCAAACGAAAAGGCAAAAUAUAUUUCUUCAUUCUCCAUAUUUCGGCAAGGCAAAAAACACAGCCACAGGGCACAGGCAGCAAGCAAAGCAAUAGAUCAAGUAAGUAGAGAAAACUAACCCAGUAAAGUACUUGCAUGUCUUGAAUCUGCAACAUAGAGUGAUUUUUUGAUAUUUUUAUCCCUAGAUCUAUAUUCUACACAAAAAAAGGGGGGGUUAAAAUGUUUUCGGCGAUUUCCGACCACCGUGCACGGCGGCGCCGUCGCCGGUGAUCGGCGGCUGCCCCAGUGGCCGAUGGCCGGAUUCUGGGCAACGGCAGAGAAGAAAGAUAAUUGAGAGAAAAAGGCAAAAAAAUUAUUUGAAGAAUCGCUGAAAUGAAGAUUCUGAAAAUUUUUUUCAUUUAAAUAGGCCUUCAAAACGACGCCGUUUUGGGCAGGCCACUCUGGCACCAAAACGACGCCGUUUCGGCCUAACCCGCGCACUUACUCGACCCGUUUACUAGGAUCCGCGUGUUUUUAACAGAAGGGUUAAUUGCGCUUUUAGCCCUUCCUAUUUUUUAUUAUUUACAAUCAAGCUUAUUUCUUUUUUAAUUUUGUCCUAUAAUUUAUUUCGUAUUUCAAUUUGGUCCACCUUGAAGCUGUGCGUUUUGAAGGAUGGGGAUUAUUUCCCAUUUGAUCCAUUUUUGUUAUUUGUGCAUUCAAUUUGGUCCUUUUUCUUUUUAUUUAUUUCGGAUUUGCCGCAAAUUUAUGUUUUAAGUUCGAUUUAGUCCCUUUUUGUUAUUUUUGCUAUUUUAUUAUUAAAUUAAUUAAUUUAAUAUUACUAUUACUAUUAUUAUUUUUCCUUUUUUAUUUUAUUAUUUAUUUACUUGUUAUUAUUACCAUAUUAUUAAAAUUUAAUUAGUUUUGCAUUAUUAUUUCAAUUAUAUUUCUUUUCAUAUUUAUUUACCUAAAUAUUUUAAAUACAUUUAUUUUAUUAUAUCAUUUUAUUUAUCUAUAUAGUAUAUCCUUUCAUAUAAUUUUUAAUUUUAAGAUUUUUAUUAUUGUUAUUAUUAUUAUUAAUACCAUCAUCAUCAUCAUCAUCAUGAUUAUUAUUAUUAUUAUUAUUAUUAUUAUUUAUUACCAUUAUUAUUAUUAUUAAUAAAAUUUUUUACACAAUAUUUAUUUAUUUAUUUCUAUAAUAUUAGGUCUUUACUUUAGCUUUAAAUUUUGUUUACUUUUUUUGGUAUUAUAUUGUUGUUAAUAUAACUAUAUAAGUAAUGAGUUGCUUAUAUUUCUAAAUAUAAUUUUAUGUUUCUUAUAUAAAUAAAAAUAAAGCAUGCCACCACGUGAAGAGUUCCCGACUAAAGGAUUGGAGGGUGCACCAAGUAAUGAUAUAGGUUGGCACUUUGGAACUCUAGUGCCAAAUGCGAGAGGAAGUAUCGUAUGUAAACUUUGUGGUAAAGUUGUGAAAGGAGGAAUAACACGAUUUAAAGAGCACAUUGCUCAUAAAACCGGCAAUGUUGCACCAUGCCCUAAUGUUACUGGUAUGUGAUACUUUAUUAUUAUUAUUAAAUGUUAUUGUAAAUUUAUCAAUAAAGAUUAUAUAUAAUUGAUAAUAAUAUAAAGUGUGAAUUAUUUUUAUUUUAUUAACAGGUGUCAUUAGAGAAAGUAUGAUGAAUGUACUAAAAGAAAGCAACACAAAGAAAAUAGACAAAAAGAGGAGAAAAGAUGAAUUCUUAUCUCAAUUAACAGAAGAGGAGGAUGAGCAUGAGGGAUUCAUUGAUGAGGUUUCUGCUAUAAGGCAAGCAACUCGAGAAAGUAUCCAAUCACAACACGAGUGGUAUAGAAGGGAAGAAUUCAGACGAAGUACUGGUGGUUGGGAUAACAUUUAUGAAGAAGGGCGAUCUUCUCAUGGAUCAGCUAGAGAACAUAAUAGAGAAAGAACAAGUAAAUCUAUUCCAGGUGAGUUUGAGUUUACCUUAAGGGGAGCUAUACCUGAAUUGGUUAGAAGCAAAAGUUCAAAGCAACCAAAGGUCAAUGACUCUUUUUUAAAGAGUUUUCGAAGGAAGAUAGGUGAAGCGGUAUCUAAAUUUAUAAUAUAUGAAAGACUUCCUUUUCAAUUAGCAAGCUCUCCAUGGUUGUAUAACUUAAUUCAAGUGGCAACAGAAGUUGGACAAGGUGUAAAGCUCCCAACACCUUAUGAGGUUUCAGAUGUGUAUUUGGAGUCAGAGUAUCAACGAGUUCAUGAUUGGGUAAAUGUACUAAAGACUCAUUGGAAAGAAUUGGGUGCAACUCUAAUGUGUGAUGGUUGGACCAACAGUUUGAAUCAAAUGCACAUCAUUAAUUUCCUUGUUUAUUGCAGUAAAGGAACCAUUUUUUGGAAAUCGGUAGAUGUCUCAAGUGUCCGUAGUAGAGAUGCUGAAUUCUACUACCGUUUAUUAGAUUCAGUUGUAGAAGAAAUUGGAGAAAAUUACAUUGUCCAAAUAGUGACUGAUAAUGAGGCAGCAAUGAAAGCUGCUGGAAAAAAGUUAAUGUUGAAAAGACAACAUCUAUAUUGGACCUCAUGUGCAGCUCACUGUUUAGAUUUAUGCCUUGAAGAUAUUGGGAAAAAGCCCAGUGUAGCAAAAGUGUUAGAUGAGGCAAAGAAAGUGACUUGCUUUAUAUACAAUCACAUUUGGACUGUUGAUUUGAUGAAGAAGUAUACACAAGGGAAACAAAUACUUCGACCCGCUCUUACUCGAUUUGCAACUCAUUUCAUUCAACUUGAAGAGAUAACAAGACAAAAGCAAGGUUUGAGAGAAAUGUUUAAUUCAAAGGUCAGUAUUUUAUAAUUAGUUAAUAUAAUUACUUAAAUAUAGUAAUCUUUAGUGAUUUUAUUAGUUCCAAAUAAUUUAAAUUAUAUUAUUUUAAAAUUUUUCUUAUGAAUAUAUAGGAAUUUAAAGAAUCAAAAUGGGGAAAGCAAAAGUCAGGGCCUGCUUAUGAAGCCAAAAAUAUUGUUUUGGGAAAAGAUUUUUGGAAAAAAGCCAAUGACCUCAUAAAAGUUUAUGAGCCCUUAGUAAGAGUAUUGAGACUUGUGGAUAGUGAUGAAAAACCAACGAUGGGCUUUAUUUAUGAGGCUAUUGAUAGGGCUAAACGAGCAAUUCAACAAAAUUGUCGAUAUUUCACAGAGUAUGAAAAGAUUAUUGACAAUAGAUGGAAUUUUAUGCAUUCCGACUUGCAUUAAGCUGGUAAGAUAAAAUAUUUCAUAUAAUUAAGAACUAUUUUUAUAUUUUAUUAUUUUAAGCUUUAGAUUAUUAUUAUUUGAUGAUAUUCUUAUAAAUUAUACUUAGGUUAUUUUCUCAACCCUCAAUUUCAAUUUGGGGUGGAGCAUUCUGAGAAUGUAUUAAUAGAAACAUUAGAAGGUACACGAUCAGUAAUUGAAAGAUUAGAACCUUCUAUGGAUACUCAAGUCAGAAUGGUUAAUCAGGUUAGAUUCAACUACUAUUAUUUGUAACUUAGUUAAAUAAUUUGAAAUAGAAUUUUUAUUUUUAUUUUUACUCUAUCUUUUAUUUAUGCAGUUGUUAUUAUUUAGAGAUAAACAUGAGACAUUCGGUACUCCACAAGCACAAAGAGCUUGGAAGCAAAUGAAUCCGGGUAAACAGUUAAUUAAAUUAUUUAAUUUAAUUUAUAUUAUUUAAUUAUAUUGUACAUUUUAAAGUUAUUUUGAAAUUUAAAUAAUAUUAUGCAGCUGAGUGGUGGAUGAUAUAUGGCACAUGUGUUCCCGAAUUACAAAAAUUAGCAAUUAAAGUGCUUAGUCAAACAACUUCAGCAUCAAAUUGCGAACGAAAUUGGAGCACAUUUAGUUAUAUUCACACCAAGGCAAGAAAUAGGUUAAAGUAUAAAAAACUUGAAAAACUAGUGUUUACCUAUUAUAAUAUGAGGCUUAAGAUGAGGCAUCAACAAAGAAUGAGCACUGAUGAUAUAAAUGUUAGUUUUAAUCCUAUCAGCCUUGAUUAUAUCUUUGAAGAUGUUGAUCCACUAUCAGAAUGGCUUCAUGAGAAAGAGAAUCCAUUGUUAGAUGGUGAAAAUGCCGGUGUGUUGCCUGUGGAUACCUCUGAUGAUGAAAUGGAUGUUGAUCAAUCGCAACAACAAAUUUUGUCUCAUUCAAGUUCUAGUUCAACUCCAAGUCAGAGUGGCGAUGGACCCGAUGGUGGUGGUUUAAGUCCAAUUGAUGAGGAUGACGGAUAUAGUGGUGAUAGAGGUGAAAUUAGGUCUUCUAGUCAGUAUGGAGGAGAAUAUGGGGGUGGUACCACUGGUGGACAUUUUCGUGACAGAUCAGAGUUUGAUGGAAAUAUGUUUCCUGAACCUAGGAGAGAUAGAAGUGAACCUAGAGCUCCAUCAAAGGGAAAAGGCAAGAAGCAUACUUCUAUAGGCUCUUCAUCUGGUAGUGGUAGGAGAUCGAGUUCUAGUAACCUUGGGUAUAGUGAUUCAUCUACUAGCACUCAAGGUUUUUAUCCACCAGAACAACCUUCACAUGGUUAUCCACAACCAUAUGGUUAUUAUCCACCAUUUCCUAAUUAUGGUGUGCCAUACCAGCCUCAAAUGUAUCCUCCUCCACCAAUGUAUCACCCACCUCCACCUUUCAUGUAUCCUCCUCCUCAAAUAUAUCCUCCAUAUCAAUUGAAUGAAAACCAAGGUGAAAAUGUUGCUUUUUUUGGAUAUAUUUUUGGACAAAGGCCAAGAGAAUCAAGUCAAGAACGCUCCCAAAGUGAAGGUGAAGGAUUUGAUCUUCCUCGUCAUUCCACUAAUUGGUGAAAACUAAAUCGUGCCACUAUCAUUAUUUGUAAGGUAUGUUUUUUUUAAAGAAAUCCUUUGUUAUUGUUCUUAAUUUUGAUGAUAUUAAAACAUUUAAAAUAAUAUAUAUCUUUAGAUAAAUGAAUGAAGUAUAUUUCAUGAAAAGAUAAUGAAGAAUCGAAGCAUGUUAAAUUAUAUAUGAAAGUAGAAUGAGAUGAGAAUAAGUGGUAGGAAAUAGGAAUAAUUAAUAAGAAUCUAUUCAUUAAUUUAUCUAUUCCUUUUUUCCUUUUGCAGCGUAUUUAUAUCUUCACUAUCUUCAAAGCUGUCAAGAAAUAUUGAAGACAUCUCUCAUGUAUGAAUUCUCAAUUCUUUUAUUUAUAAAAACUUUUAAACUUAUUAAAUAUGAUAAAUGUUUAAUAUUUCUUUUUUUUUACUUUGUUAUUAGUUAAUAUAACAUUCUUAGAAAAUUCGUAAAUAAAUAUAAGAAUAAUUAAUGAUUAUAAAAGUUGUGUUCUCAUGUCAUAUUAAUAAAGGUUCAUAAGUGUUAGAAAACACUCUAAAAAUCAUUAAAAGUGACUUUUUAUAAUUAUAAUUAUAAUUACUAUGUUUUACAGUAAGUUGUGCGAAUUUGAAAAAAAUUCACGACCGCGAUACCCGCAGUGACCGCAAUAGCGUCCAUUAUGUCCACGACCGCGACAAACGCGACGCGACCGAAAACACGACCGCGACCGCAAUUUAAAUCCCUGGUUGGAAUUCCUCCGUAGUAUUACCAUUCCACAUGAUCUGCAUAGACACAGUAGAAACACAGUUCAUAAUAACAUUUGAUAAGGACGAAGGAAUACCUGUAUCCAAUAAAGUGUUUGCAAUAAAGUCCCACCGAAUCCUGUCAUAGGCUUUCUCGAAAUCCACCUUAAUAGCCAUCCAACUCUUCUUGCCUUUCUUAGUUCGUAUAGAGUGAACUAUCUCUUGGGCAAUGAUAAUGUUGUCAGUUAUCUAUCUUCCUGCAACAAAACUUACUUGAUUCUGAGCAAUGAGAAGAGGGAAAACAAGUUUGAAUCAAUUGGCUAUUACCUUUGUUACAAUCUUAUACUAGACAUUACAGAGGCUAAUUGGCCGGUAUUGGGAUAAGGACUCCGGAUUAUAAGUUUUCGGAAUAAGGACCAACAAUGUCUUGUCUAUCGAAUGAUCGAGAGGAGACCCUGAGAACUCACUUCGAACCCAACUGCAAACAUAAAAACCAACAAUACUCCAUUGACUCUAAUAGAAUAACGCAUGAAGCUUAUUCGGUCCCGAGGCAUUCAAGGGACCCAUGCUAAAAAGAGCAUUGCAAAUUUCCUCAUCUGACACAUCCAUAGUCAAUGAAUCAAUAGAAUUUUGCACCAACUUUGAAAACCGACCCCGCAACGGAAACAAGAAAUGAGCUUGAUCAUCCAACGAGUAAAGAGAUGAAGAAUAACGAAUUGCUUCCUCCUACAAGAUCACAUCAUCAUAACACCAAGAGUCUCCCACUUUCAAAGUUAAAAUCUUAUUGAAAUUACGCAUUCGGAUCGUUUUAUUAUGGAAAUAUUUAGUGUUGCGAUCACCAAACUAGGCCUAAUCCACUCUCGACUUUUGUCUCCUUAGGCUUUCUUCUUCAUCCAAGACCGUUUCAUACUCAAUCCACAAGUCGUGUUCCCGAUUCAAAAAGAAAAUAGAAGACCUCCUAUCUGGAGCAGCUUGAACCUUAGCAAUACGAUUAGCUAGAAGCCUUUUCCUAUGACCAAUGUGACCAUAAAUCUCAAAGUUCCACUUUCUGAAAACCUCCAUCAAAGAGGCAAGAUUGUGUGCAAUAUUUGGCCCAAACCUCCAUUUUUCUCGAACAAGUUGAUCAAAAUUCGGAUUAUUAAUCCAAGAAGCCAAGAAAUGGAAUGGCCUUACACAACGAACAGAACUAGGAUUAGUCAUAGAAAUGGGAAUAGGCCUAUGAUCUGACUUCAGCCGUGGAAGGUGAAACACCAAGGCAUCAGAAAAGGUAUGACACCACUCACCAUUACCAAUGGCUCGAUCCAAUCGAAUAUGUUUUAAUAUUGAAUGAUAAUGAAUUUUUAUUUAAAUUUAAUUAAAUUAUUUGAAUAUGUUUUAUUUUUUUCAUUAUUAUUUUUAAAAUUGUAAAAUUUGAUUUAGACGGAUAUGAUUUUUUUUUUACGAAACGGGUUGUGAGGUGGAAUUAAUGUGUAUUAAUUCCAUAGAUUUUAUAUUUAUUUAUUUUGAAUGGAUAUUUUUUAAUUAAAACCUAAAGUAAAGUGAGACGAUUCUAAUCAUUUAUAUGUAAAUAUUAUAUAAUAAGAUGUACUUAAAAAAUAUUAUGUACUAUGAUAAAUGUAGAUUUAUUCAUGGAUCGGACUAUUCGGCCCGGUCUAAAGGGCCACCUAAAAAUUGGAAAGAUUUGGAUAAAAAUAUAAAUUCAAAAAAUGGGCUUAGUAAAAAUAUAUAUAUAUUGUAGAAGCCCAAAUUUGCCCGGGCCCUAACAGCAAAACAAAUUUCAGCCCAAAUGGCCCAGUUACAUUAUAAAAUUAAUUGGACCAGCCCAAACACCAACCCACAAGCCCAAUUACAACCCAAACCCGAGGCCCAAAUCUGGAGCCCAAUUCCCCCCAAAAACCCAACUAGGGUUUCAGAAAAAUGAAACCCUAGCCAAACCUAGCGCCGCAUCCAUCCCUCUGUCGUUCGCCUUGUCCCAUCGCCACCUACCGUGCCUAGCUUCAUCAACACCUGCAAAAUGGCAGAAAAAGCCGGAGCACGCAACAGAUAGUGCAAAAACAAUAGAAUACAACCAGAAAAAAAUACAAUGUAAAUUGGCUAUAAAAGCCAAACAAUAUCUCUGUACAAGGUUUUUUUUUUAGACAGCGUUUUUGAAUCCAAAAAAAAAAGAAAAACAGAUCAAAAGGUUGACUCCAAUUUAUUCUUCUCUGUUCUUGUUUCUUAUUUACUUUACUCUUUAUUUAUUGUUUAUUUUUUUCGCAUUCGUUCAACAAAGAAAAAGGAAUUGAAAGGGAGAGGAGAAAAUACCUUACCGCUUCGACGGGCUGGUGUCGGAACCCCACCCUUGCCGUCGUCGGAUUCGAGCCGAAAGGGGCGUCUCAUCCCUUUUCCUUUUGGUCUUGCGGUUGAGAAGGCUUAGCCUUCGGGGACGCCGCAAAAAUGGGAGGCUUAGGGGCCUUUCUCGCGCAACUCCGGCCAUUGGCCAUGGAGGCGGAGAUGGCGGCCUGAGCUUAAAGGGCCGAGAGAGAUGUAGGGAGGAGAGCACUCGGGCUCUCAGUUUUCCUUUUUUUUUGUUUUUUUUUUAUUUUUUGAUUGUUUAGAAAAUGAAAUGGAGGCUGCCAGAUUAGGGUUCUUUUUGGCCCUUGCUUGAUGUGUGAAACGACGCCGUUUGGAGUCUGAUCAGUGGCUCCAAAACGGCGUCGUAUUGAGCUCUGACCCGCGCGGUGACCCGACCUAGGGGAAGGAUCCGCGUGUUUUCUUUAAAUGGGAUAUUUGCGCGCGUAGUCCCUCCGACUUUGUAGCGCGUUGCAAUCUGGUCCUAUUUCGCUAUUUCCUAUUUUUCAAUGUAGCCCCAGAAUUCUAUUUUUGUUCUAAUUUGACCCUCUACUGCACUGUGUUUUGGGGCUUCGGGGUAUUUACCAUUUUGGUCCCCCUUUUUUUGCGCAUAUUACAUUUUGAUCCUUUAUUCUGUUUUAUUUUUUAUUUCAGCCCUGAGAUUUCGUUCACGUUUUGAAUUAGUCCUAUUAUUAUUAUUACUAUUAUUAUUAUUACCUAUUUAUUUAUAUUGAUUUUAUUUAAACUUCUGGUACAUAUAUAUAUAUUUAUAUAUUUUACAACUUAUGUACCUAUAUAUAUAUCUAUAUACAUAUUUUCAUUUUCAUAAAUACAUACAUAUUUAUAUAUAAUCUUUAUAGUCUAAAAUACACCUUUUUUAUAUUUUUUUUAAAUCCGCAUAUACAUACACAUUUUCAAUAUAUGUUUAGUAUGUAUAUAAAUUAACGUAUUUAUUUGUAUACAUAUGUAUAUUUUCAUUAGUUUUAAACUUUAGUUUGUACAUAUAUACUUUUUCUUUUAUUUUACAAUAUAUAUACACUUACUUUUUAUAUGUAUUCCUUUAUCUUCGUAUUCCAUAGUUUUAUACACCUAUAUGUACAUAUUUUUAUAUAUACGCAUAUUUAUUUAUCUUAUAUAAAAUAUACCUUAUAUGUUUUGUUAAUUCACGUAUACACAUAUUUUUGUUCAUGUCUAUAUAUAUCUUUUUAUACUUAAUUGUAUUUGCUAUUUAUUUAUUUCAUUUUUGUUAUUAUUUUGAAUGAAUGAUUUAACUUUAUUCGUUCUUUAUUUUGUUAUUUUGUAUGUUGUAAGCUUGAUCGUUCAUAUUGAUUGCUAUAGCUUGCAUCGUUUUUAUAUUUUCAUGUUCAUUAUGAUUUUGCCAUGCAUAAAUAAUGUAAUUUGCUUUCACUAUAAUUUUGUGCUUUAUUUUUACUCGAUAUAACAAAAUUUAUUUUUUUUUAAAAUGGCAUUUCGUGUUUGGAUUCGAGAAAAUCGUGCCCUAACUUACUGGGUUUCGAUUUUCUCGAUAAAUCUAAAUGUACGAAUCUUUUUAAACUCAAAUUUUAGAUGACCUCGGGAUUAAAAAAUCACGUCCUAACUUACUGGUCGUGAUCUCAUUUUUAAAUCCGAGAUGGCUAAAAUAUCUUUUAAAUAAGCAUUUUUCAUUCGCGUAUCGAGAAUUUGAGAUAUUGUAUUCUAACUUACUGGAUAUGAUUCUCUUUCUCGAUUAACGUGAAAUAUAUUUCUUUUUCCAAAAAAUUUCAUUUUAAUACAAGGAUCGUAUUUUUAAUUCUUUCAAGUUCUCAAUUUUCGACAUCAAGACAUUAGAUAAUCAACUAGGUACCAAUUUCUGGGCGUUACGAGGGUGCUAAUCCUUCCUCGUACGUAACCGACUCCCGAACCCGUUUUCUAAAUUUCGUAGACCAAAACCGUUGUUUUAAUAAAAUCAAAUUAUUUAUUAAAAACAACCUUUUUCCAAGGUGACCCAAUCACACCUCAAAAAGGAUUGGUGGCGACUCCCUUUUUUAUUUUCAAAACCCAAGUCGACCCCGUUUUUCAAUCAAAAAAAUGGUGUCAACAUAUAUAUAUACGUUCUUAUGCAUUGGCAACAAUGUCUAUGACAAUUGAGCUAAGACUCAACCGACUAAUUCCAUAAAUUUUAUAUUUAUUAAUUUUGAAUAGAUAAUUUUCUAAACUAAAACCGUAAUGCUAAAGUAAAGCGAGAUGAUUCUGAUAAUUUAUAUGUAAAUAUUAUAGUUACAUGCAAAUAUUAUAUAAUAAGAUGUACUAAAAAAUAUUAUAUACCAUGAUAAAUGGUCGGUAAGUUGGAGAUGAAUAUAAGACUAUAAAGGUAAAAUUGUUAGUUAAGCUCCUAUACAUAGGGGAAGAUUGCAUUUCAACCCUUUUAUUGAAAAAAUGAGCAAACUAGUCUUUAUAUAUUUCGAAACAUACAAAUUAGCUUAUCCGUUUCUUUUUGUAUCAAGACUUAAUCAUAGACUGGGUCAUUCGGUCCAACUCAAAGGCAUGUCCAAAAAGUUCAGACUCUUCAGAAUUAAUAAAAGCACAAGUUAGAUAUAUGAUAAAGUUAUAAUUUAACCCCAAAAUUGUUAAAACUUCAAUUUAAUCAUUUUAAAUACCAUAAAAUAUAAUUAAAUAAGUAUUUUAACUCUCAUAAAAAAAAUUUUUAAUCUCGCCGUGCAUUUAUCUAAUUACAUACUAGUUAUUAGUUUGUUAUUUUCAUCUUAUUCAUUGCUAUUAGUUGAAUAAAUCGAAAAGUAAACGCAUAAACACAAAAUAUUAUUCAAAGCUCCAUUUUAUUCAAAUUUUUUCAGUAUUCAUCACAUGUUUCUUUCAAAAAGAAUAAAAUAAAACAUUCGUUCACAUGUUCAUUUUUCAUAUAUGUAGCUUAUUGUAGCAUGUAAGAAAACAAAGAAACAAUGGAGGCCCCAACCAAUGAUCCAAGAACAGGCAAGGUUGUGGCAGCCAUGCUGGAAUCCGGUCCUGAUGCUGGAGCGGAACCAGGAGAGGAGCUAGGACUAGAACCACCGGCUGAAGGGGCAGGAGAUGGAGCACCGGCAGCCAUGACGGCGCUCAUUGAGGCGGCAGCAACAAUGAUGGCGGUGGAGACCUUCUUCAUGUCCAUGGCGUAUAAAGUGAUUAUUAAACGCACUGGAAAUGAAUGAGACCUGCGUUUAAUUACAGGGAUCCGCCGGUGAUUGUUAUUAUUUGCUUUGUUAUAUCAGGUCUGAAGAACAAUGAUGGUGGGGAGGAUCUUUUAUAGGUGAAAAUUCAUGGCUAUUUUUAGUGGCGAAAUUUUUUUUUUAAAUUACGUGUUUGGUUCUCGCAUGGUUUGCGGGAUAGACAUGCAAAUUUUUUAAAUAUUUUUUAAACGAUUUUGACUGGAUUUUUUAGAUAGGGGGAUUUUAAUAUUUUUUUAAGAGAAAGAGAGUAGUAAAUUAACUGUAAUUACAUCAACAUCAUCUUGCAAAUUAUUUAGAAUGGAAGUAUCAAUUGUUGGGGAGAAAAAACAAAUUAAUGGAGACCCAAUUAUAGUCAAAUAUCAUUUCAGCUAAAGCAUUAGUCACUCCAUUAGAUUUCCUUAAAUAUGCUUGAUGUGAACCGCGCAAAGCUCUUUUAUUCUGCAUACUAGUUCCCUUUUCACUCACCAUUAAUUGCUUGAACUAUAGUUAAACAAUCACAUUCUAAAACAAUCAAUUUCCACCCUUUAGACCAAAGCAAUUUAAGUCCACCAUAGAUUGGCCAAGGUUCUGCUUGUUAAACACUACAUUUUCCAAUAUUAUGAUCAUAGCCAAAUAUCCAUCUACCAUGGUUGUCUCUAGCAAACUCAGCUGAGCAGGCAAGUUUGGUAUAAAGUUUCCCUACACCGUCUGUGUUCAUUUUGACGCAAUCAAUUAUUGGUUGCUGCCAGGUGUUUGGUUUGAUUCAAUUUUUAACCUUAAUCAUUGGUUCCCUAUUAUGUUUAACAUUCACAACCCAACUCCAAGCCGAUCUUACAAGCAUACUAGAAUUAUGAGGAACAUUUUCAAAAACAAAAGAAAUAUUCCUUUGUUUCCAUACAAACUAGCAUAGUAUACCUAACAGGUGAUUCAAUUAAAAUCUUUGAAAUGUAAAUUUAGUUUAUUAGAAAGGUUGAAAUUCACCCAAGAUAAAAGUGACGGACAUAAGAACUUGGAGUAAAAUGAAUUCGGAAUGAACUACAUCCAUACUUCCUCAGCUUUGGAACAAUCAUUAAGUAUAUGAAAAAAAUUUAUUCUACAAAUCCAAAAAUGCAGCAACUGGCGUCAUCCGUCAAUCCGCGUCUUUCCAUACUAAUAUAUUUUAAUAGUAAAAUAGACCACAAAAUUAACUUGAGUCAAUUUGAAGUUUUUUUAAAAAUUCAGAAAAUACAAUUAUAAAACAAUUAUAAAUAUAUGUCCAAUCAAUUAUAGUAUAGAAUUCAAUUAAUUACAACUAUAAAAUAAAUACAAAUAUAUUUAAACACCCUUUUGUCUUCAUUCCUAUCUUCACCCUCUUUAGUGGUAGGAGGCAAAAGGAGGGGGUUGAUAAGGGCUUUACACCCUCUCUUAAAUGGGUUUAGACUCUCCAAAAUUCAUAAAAACAUAAGUUAAAUAUAAGGUAAACUGUAAAAAUAAUCACUUUUGUUUGUAUUAGAUUAUAUUUUAGUCAUUUAUAUUUGAAAUGUUACGUUUUAGUCAUUUACAUUAUCAUUUUGUUACGAAGUAGUGACUCUGCCGUUCAGCUCCGUUACCUCCCUAAAGACAAUCCUAUGUGGGAUAGUCACUUUUGUUUGUCUUAUAAUACAUUUUAGUCACUUCUAUUUGAAAUGUUAUGUUUUAGUCACUUGUAUUAUCGUUUUGUUACGAAGUAGUCACCGUGUCAUUCAUCUCCGUUACCUUCCUAACAACAAUCCUAGAUGGCAGUCUAAAUUGGUUUUAAAUGCCAACUUGGAUGUCCAACUGGGAUGAGAAUAGUUUUUGUUAAGACGAACGGUUUUUGUUUUCCAAUUCAAGGUGUAAUUAAUUUAAAAUUUACAAUUAAUUAAAUUUAGUUAAUUAAAAACCUAUUCUCGUACCAAUUAGGCAUCCAAGUUGACAUUUAAAAUCGAUUUGGACUACCACUUAGGAUUGCCGUUAGAGUGACCACUUUCUAACAAACGAUAACGUAACAUUUCAAAUAUAAGUGACUAAAAUGUAACCUAAGGCAAAUAAAAGUGACUAUUUUUAUAAUUUACCCAGUCUAAAUUGGUUUUAAAUGCCAACUUGGAUGUCCAACUGGGAUGAGAAUAGUUUUUGUUAAGACGAACGGUUUUUGUUUUCCAAUUCAAGGUGUAAUUAAUUUAAAAUUUACAAUUAAUUAAAUUUAGUUAAUUAAAAACCUAUUCUCGUACCAAUUAGGCAUCCAAGUUGGCAUUUAAAAUCGAUUUGGACUACCACUUAGGAUUGCCGUUAGAGUGACCACUUUCUAACAAACGAUAACGUAACAUUUCAAAUAUAAGUGACUAAAAUGUAACCUAAGGCAAAUAAAAGUGACUAUUUUUAUAAUUUACCCUUAAAUAUAUGAUAAAUUAUAAGUUAACCCCAAAAUUGCUAAGUUUUCAAUUUAAUCAUUUUAAAUACCAUAAAAUAUAAUUAAAUACGUAUUUUAACUCUAAUAAAAUAUAUACUUUAACCUUUAUUUCCCUAAAAAAAAAAUUUCCAACUUCCCCCUGCAUUUAUCUAUUUACAUACCAUUUAUUAGUUCAAUAAUUCAUUGUUAUUUUCAUGUUAUUAGUUGAAUAAAUCGAAAAGUAAAAGCAUAAAAACAAAAUACUUUUCAAAGCUCCAUUUCAAUUUUUUCAAUAUUCAUCACAUGUUUCUUACAAAAAAUAAUAAAUAAAAUAAAAUAUUCGUUCACAUGUUCAUUUUUGAUACAUGUAGCUUACUGCAGCAUGUAAGAAAACAAAGAAACAAUGGAAGCCCCAACCAAUGAUCCAAGAACAGGCAAGGUUGCGGCAGCCACGCUGGAAUCUGGUGCUGAUGCUGUGACGGAAGCAGGAGAGGAGCUAGGACUAGAACCACCGGCGGAAGGGGAAGGAGCAGGUGCACCGGCAGCCAUGACGGCGCUCAUUGAGGCAGCAGCAACAAUGAUGGCGGUGGAGACCUUCUUCAUGUCCAUGGCGUAUAAAGGGAUUAUUAAACGCACCGGAAAUGAACGAGACCUGCGUUUAAUUGCUGGAGAAUGGGGAUCCGCCGGUGAUUGUUAUUAUUUGCUUUGUUAUUGCAGGUCUGAAGAAGAAUGGUGUUGGGGAGGAUUAUUUAUAGGUGAAAAUUCAUGGCUAUUUUUAGUGACGAAAUUUUAAAAAAAAAAUUUACGUGUUUGGUUUUUGCAUGGUUUGCGGGAUAGACAUGCAAAUUUUUGAAUUUGUUUUAGCGAUUUUGACUGGAUUUUAUGGUUAGGGGAUUUUAUUAUUAUUAUUUUUUGGUAAGAGAAAGAGGAGUAGUAAAUUACAGAAUAAUAAUUACCUCAAUCAAUAUCAUUUUGUAAAUUAUUCAGAAUGGAAAUAUCUAUUUGUUGAGGGAUAAAGAUCAAUAAAUUCAUGUUGAUCCAAUUGAUAGUUAAACAUCAUUAUCAAUACAGGAGGAUGUGAGUUCGAGCGGGUUUAUCCUUCUAUUGAAAAGCUUGGAUGAGUUAUGGGUAGUUCUAAGCAUUGUAUCAACUUAUACUUUCACGGUUGAAUUAGAUUAUAAAAAAAAGGUACUAAGUAAGCUCCUGUAUUUAGGGUGUAUUGCAUUUCAGCCCUUUUACUAAAAUAGUGGCUAAAUUAGCCUUUAUGUAUUUCGAAACGUACAAAUUGGAUCAUCCUUUAAAUUUUAUCUAUUAAAUGAUGAUGUGGAACGUUAAAUCUAUGCUGAAAAUUAUUUUUUUAUAGGUAAACUAUAAAAAUGAUCCGUUAACUAUGUCUUUCGUUGUAUUCUAUUUUGGUCACCCACUUAUUAUUUUUUGUUUUGUUCAUAUCAAAUUAAUUAAUUUUUUAUUUCUUGAUUCAACCUAAAACUAUAUGGUUCUACAUUUUAAAAACAUUGAUUAAUAAUGACUAAGAAUUUUUCAUAAAUAAGACAUAUAAAAUAAAUUUUUGAAAAUUUUAUAUUUACAAAGAUGAAAAUCAAUCAAAACAUAGGAAAAAAAAACCCAAUUUCUUGUUUAAAAAAUCCAAUAAAAAUUUUAAAUAUAUAUUUAGAGAAAUAUGUUUUUAUUUAAUUUUAAAUAAUUUUUUUACAGCUUUUGUCUUGUUAGCUAUUAUUAAAUAAUCGAAUCAAUUUACUAUUUAAUCAAUUCAACCAACCAAUCUAAUGAAAUUUGAAGAAUUUGGUUUCUCAAGGUGGAUAUACACUUCAGUUCAAUUACUAUUUAUCAAUUGGGUCCUUAUUGGCUAAAAAUGAAUUUCUUUUAUACAAACAUAUAUUUAAAUUUUUAGAGGUAGGACUAAAUUGAUAGAUUUUAUAAAUAUUGAGGGUCAAAUUUAUUAUUUUUUUAAAAUUAUAAUUAAAAAAAUAAAUUUUGUAAACAUUGAGGACUAAAUUUGUUUAAUUUUUAUAUUUAAGAUCAAAUCGAUAGAAUGUAUAAAUAUUAGAGAGCUAAUUUUAUUACUAGACCAAUAAAAUAAGCCCACAUUUAUCUGAUUACAUACUAAUUAGUUCAAUAAUUCAUUGUUAUUUUCAUGUUAUUCAUUGUUUUGAAUAAAUGGAAAAGUAAAAGCAUAAACACAACAUACUUUCCAAAGCUCCAUUUCAAUUUUUUUCAUUAUUCAUCACAUGUUUCUUUCAAACAAUAAAAAAUAUAAUAUAAAAUAUAAUAUUCGUUCACAUGUUGAUUUUUCAUACAUGUAGCAUGUAAGAAAACAAAGAAACAAUGGAAGCCCCAACCAAUGAUCCAAGAACUGGCAAGGCUGUGGCAGCCACGCUGGAGUCUGGUCCUGAUGCUGGGGCAGAACCGGGAGAGGAGCUAGGAAUAGAACCACCGGCGGAAGGGGAGGGAGCAGGUGCAUCGGCAGCCAUGACGGCGCUAAUUGAGGCGGCAGCAACAAUGAUGGCGGUGGAGACCUUCUUCAUGUCCAUGGCGUAUAAAGGGAUUAAUAUUAAACGCACCAGAAAUGAACGAGACCUGCGUUUAAUUGCUGGAGAAUGGGGA
rnacentral:lncRNA from 1 species